rnacentral:rRNA from 1 species
AUUGAACGCUGGCGGCAGGCCUAACACAUGCAAGUCGAACGGUAACAGGAAGCAGCUUGCUGCUUUGCUGACGAGUGGCGGACGGGUGAGUAAUGUCUGGAAACUGCCUGAUGGAGGGGGAUAACUACUGGAAACGGUAGCUAAUACCGCAUAAUGUCGCAAGACCAAAGAGGGGGACCUUCGGGCCUCUUGCCAUCGGAUGUGCCCAGAUGGUAUUAGCUAGUAGGUGGGGUAAAGGCUCACCUAGGCGACGAUCCCUAGCUGGUCUGAGAGGAUGACCAGCCACACGGGAACUGAGACACGGUCCAGACUCCUACGGGAGGCAGCAGUGGGGAAUAUUGCACAAUGGGCGCAAGCCUGAUGCAGCCAUGCCGCGUGUAUGAAGAAGGCCUUCGGGUUGUAAAGUACUUUCAGCGGGGAGGAAGGGAGUAAAGUUAAUACCUUUGCUCAUUGACGUUACCCGCAGAAGAAGCACCGGCUAACUCCGUG